CCCCUGGCAUCUCGGCCGCUGGGCGCGGCGGCGCGCAUGCGCAGCUCUCGGGGCUGGCCCCGGCGCACCUUUUCUCCCUCCUGCCACUUCGUGAGAGCUCCGCCGCCCUUGUAACCGCUGACUCCCGCUCCACCCACGCCGCCCCUACUCCGCCCACUCCCGAGCGCCCAGGACCCUGGGACUUGCCCGAUGUAUCUGAAGCCUUGGUGACUGGUUCUCUGGAAGGCCUUGGGCCUGGCAAGGCAAUCCCAGUUCCUCUGCUCCCCCUUAACUCUUACCCUUCAGGAACCUACCAAGAGAAGGGCGUCAUCCCUUGACAUGUCACAAGAAGAGGGCGUUGGCUCUCAGUCAGCCUGCCUUCUUCAGCUGCGGGCACUACAGCUUAGCAGUCAUGGCAGGCAGGGCUUAGCACCCACACUGGCCUUGUUGAAAGACAAGGCUUCUGUCAUCCUGGUUUCCCGGCCCCGGAUAGUUCCUCACUAACUUUUUCAAUACGUGUGGGCAGAAAUCAACAGGACCCAUUUUUUUUUAAUUUAAAAGCUUUAGUAAAAAGUUCUGUAUACUUUGACAGUUCUGAAAACUUCACAGAUUUAACUGAAACAGCAGCAGAGCUAUCUGGUUUCUAUAAGGUGAGCUUGAUGGCCUGGUACAAGCUCCCUAUUCACUGCAUUUCUUUGCCUCCCAAGUUUCCAGGGGUGUACCCCUAGUCAAUAAUAGUUCUUAACACACGUACUUAUGGAGGGGCAGUGGCCGUGGCUCCCUUCCAACUCAUUAACUAAUAUAACCCCGUCCUGCUGCACCAGACUUGGGGCCAGAGCUUGGUCAUGACCUUCUGGGUCCUCAUUCUUGUAGUGUUGUGACCUUUGUUCAAUCACUUCAUCUUUGAGGCUUUGUGCAAAGAGGGGAUUAUAUGACUCUUAUAACCUUCCAGAUCUGAUACCUAGGAUUCUACUCUAGAAAGCUGACUGUGUUUGUUAAUACCUUGUAAUUUCAUUCUUUUCCUAAGAGUUACUAUCCAAUUUUCAUCUCUAAGCCCUUCCUAUAGGAAACUGCCCCUUCUACAGAGUGGAUAAAGCUGUCCUGGUCUCUCCUUUUGUAUUCACUUUUCCCCCCUCAUAUCUCUAAGUAAUAGUGUUUAGAGACAGCCCAGAGAGCUGGACUCUUGGCUUGUCUGCCACAGGGCUUGUCUGUAGACGCACACAUGCGCUCAUGUGUAUAUGUGUAUUUCCAGUCUUAAAGGAAUGUGGUCCUUGGGCACUUUCAUUCUGUGCCCCCUCAGCUCCCACCACCCCCACUUAAAUUCCAGUGAAAAGUUAAAAUGAAUGCCAAGGUGCUCUAGAAGAAAAAAAGAGGAUUCACUAAAAGACCAGAUCUGUGAGUAGAGCUGUUUUGCUUUGGGGAUAGAGAUGAGGGAGGCUACUGAGACAGCCAGUGUCACUUCCGUCUCAAGCUUGGUUUUGGCUGUAACCUGGACCCAACACUUGGUUCACAGCUCCCUACAGCUGUGGUCUCUGUACAUCACCUCUUCAUUUGAAACAUCUCAGAGUUUGGAGUAUGAUCACUCUGGUGUCCUUGUCAUCAAAAUGCAUUUUAUAAUUUUUUCAAAACAACAGGUCUGUGACCAUUUGUACGAGUCUUUCUUCUCCAGUAGUUCAUUUACUCCUUCCCUCAACCCUGGGAGGUAGGAAGGGCAGGAAAUGUUCUUCCUGCUAUUUUUUAACAGCGAAUUAAAACCAAGGUCCAGAUUUUAAGGGUAACAUGGCCAGAAGUAAAAUCUGGGUCCCCAGGGUCCAAGUCCAGCACUUCUCUGUGACACGAUACUGCAGCCCUUUGCUGGACACCAUACAAAGCAAAUUGAACAGAUGUGGUCUCUGCUCUCUGGAAGUUUGGACUCAAAUGGACAGCCAUGAUUCUGGCAAACAUAAAGGGACAAAAGUGAUUCAAUCAACUCACCUAUGCCAAUAAAUAAAUGGGUUAAAUAGAUAAGGAAAGUCAUGUUUACCUGGCCUACUAAUUUUUUUUUAAUUCCAAUUGAGUAGAAAGGACAGUGUUAGUGAGGCUAAGGUUUUAGUCCAGUCCCAUCUGCCUACUUGCUUUGCAAAUGGAAAACUAUUUGUAGCUGCGCUGCAUGCCUCUUCCCCUCCUUGUCUUCAAUGUUCUAUCAACGUUCCUGAAGCUUCUACCAAGUGUCUGUCGAGCAAGAGUCUCUGAAAUAAUGCUUCAAAGGGGCGCAUACAGAAAUGUAGGAGUCCACCAGAUGGCUAACUAGAUGGCUAAACCACUUCGAUGGGAGAUCUCAAGUCCCGCCUGACAGCACCAGAUUGCACAGUAUGCUGCAUGGAGAGUGGCCUGGAGAUGACCAGGAAGUGACCAUCUGCUGGAAGCCCUAACUGGUGGCAGGGCUGAGCCUCAACCAGCAGACAAGAGAUCUCAGGAAAGAAAGCCUAAGACAGAACAUCACCUACUCUCUAAUAUUAUCCAACACUCAGAUGGACCCCCAGCUGAGACUGGGAACAGACAGGGGCAACUUCCGUCCCUCGUUUCAUUUUGCCAGCAGAGAGGAAGAGGUGAGCGCUCCAUUGAGAAACAUGGUGCCGUUCAGAGGGGCUGCGUGUUCCUCCUGUGCCAGAGAAUCCCCUGGUGCCUGGGGACCUCCUUCCCUAUCGUGUUGGGUGUUGAUGGUCCUGUGGAAAUGGACCCCCUAUGAAGCUAGGUUUUGCUCUGUGUGGCAUUGACCAUGAAUGUCUUUUUCCUGACUAGGCUGUGUUCUCAGCACGUACUGGGCACCAAGAUGUUCCCAAUUUAUUGAGUACUUUCCACUGUCCUGUUUCACCUCUUAUCCCACACAGUCCUUCCAACUGCUCUUUGAGUAGGUAUCUCCAUUUCACAGAUGAGGAAACCGAGACAGAGAGAAAUGAAAUAGGAAACGAUGUAAGGUCACAUUAAGUCUCACGUGACAGGCUCAGGAUUGAACCCAGGUAGUCAGACUCCUAAGCCUGCUCUUUUUUUUUUUUUAACAUUUUUUAUUGAUUUAUAAUCAUUUUACAAUGUUGUGUCAAAUUCCAGUGUUCAGCACAAUUUUUCAGUUAUUCAUGGACAUAUACACACUCAUUGUCACAUUUUUUUCUCUGUGAGUUAUCAUAAUAUUUUGUGUAUAUUUCCCUGUGCUAUACAGUGUAGUCUAUUCUACAAUUUUGAAAUCCCAGUCUAUCCCUUCCCACCCUCCACCCCCCUGGUAACCACAAGUCUGUAUUCUCUGUCUGUGAGUCUAUUUCUGUCCUUUAUUUAUGCUUUGUUUUUGUUUGUUUGUUUGUUUUUGUUUUUGUUUUUUAGAUUCCACAUAUGAGCGAUCUCAUAUGGUAUUUUUCUUUCUCUUUCUCUAAGCCUGCUCUUUUAACCAUAAUGCUAUACUGCCCAGAACUCCAAUUCCGUCACCCCACUCUCCUGCUCAGAAUUCUUGAGGUGGGGAUGGUAUAGCUCAGUGGUAGUGUGCAUGCCAUGCACGAGGUCCUGGGUUCAAUCCCCAGUACCUCCAUUAAAAAAAAUAGAAUUCUUGAGUGGCUUAUCCUGUGAUAAAUAGGAUAAUGGAGCCCUAAAGAUGUCCACAUCCUAAACCCUGGAACCUGUGAAUGUGUUACCUUACCUUGAUGAAAGGGACUUUGCAGAUGGGAUUAAGUUAAGGAUCUUGAAAUUCGGACCCUAGCCUGGAUUAUCCGAUGGGUCCAAUCUAACCACAAAGGUCCUUCAAAGAGAGGCAGGAGCAUUAGAGUCCAAGAAGGAGAUGUGACCAUGGAAACAGAGGGCAGAAUGGUGUGGCUGCUGGCUUUGAAGAUGGGAGAAGGACAUGAGCUAAGAAAUGUGGGCAGUUUCUAGAAACUGAAGCGGGCAAAGAACUGACUCUCCGCAAGAGCCUCCAGGAGGAACACAUCCUACUGAUGCCCUGAUGUUGGCCCAGUGCAACUUCUGACCCCAGAACUGUCAGUAAACCUGUGUUGUCUGAAGCCACUAGGUUUGUGGUUAUUUGUUACAGCAGCAGCCAGAAACUAAUACAGCUCCCCUUGCUUAAAGGGAAAUCUGAACUGCUUUGCAAGGCAAUCAAGGGCCCCGUGUUCUCUUCCCCUUGGCUGACUGCCUAGCUGUUAGCUCAUGGCCACCCCACUCCCACCCCCACCACGCUCUACACACUGAACUUCGUCAGGAUCCUCAGCAGGCCAUGUCCUUUCUUACGUCAAUGCCUUUGCUUGUGCUGUCUCUUCCACCUGGAACACCCUCUUCUCACUUGUUUGCCUGGCAAACUCCUCAUCCUUUAUGUCUCAGCUAAAACAAUACCUCCUCUGUGAAGCUUUUCCUCCUUCCCCCAAAGGAACGUAGGGCUCCUUUCCUGCAUUUCAUGCCUCUGCCUCAUUUCAUGUGCACUCCCAUCAAAGCCGUAUUUUAAGGACCCAUCUGUUCCCUUCCUGAAUUAUAAGCUGUUUGAGGGCACAGGACCUCUCUUUCCACCUUUAUCCUCCCUUAGCACCUAGCAGGGUCCCCAGCACCUAGCAAGGUGCCCUGCACAUCAAAUAAAGUUCUCCAGAGA